AGCCCCAGGUAGGCAUAGACUCACUUAGUUCCAGCUCCUUAACCUCUUGACCCUCUAUAGGGUUUUGUAACUGAUUAUGAUUUAUUGUUUAUUAAUUAGUUUGAAUUAGGAUUCAUUAUCAGUAGAUGAUACCUCAUUUUUUAUGCCUCUGUACCCAGUAUCAUGUAAAAAUUUCUCAGGUAAAAAGGGGCAGCUAGGGGGAAAAGUUUAAGAAGGCCUGCAUUAAGUAGCCUUAUUAGUUGGAGUAGAAUGUUAGCACUCAGAUUGGAUUUUAGCAUAUUAUGACAUGACAUUUUCCUCUUUCCAGACUCCUAUAAAUAUUAACUCCUGUCUUGGUCAUAAAGAGCUGUCUGAAGGUGGGGGUGAGGGAGUGGGACUUAUUGUUUCUCAUGGCUUGAGUAAAAUUAAUGGUAAAUUAAAUUAAAAGGUGUUUCCUCUCUUCCUUCCCCCUUUCCCCCCACUCAUUCGGAGAGUGCAGUAUUAAUAGUUUUUUUGUUCAACAAAAGGGUGUAUGUAAUGGUAGUGGGGAGCAGAGAAGGAACCAGGAAUGGGAGGUCUGGGAUCCUCGGCUUUUCCUCUCCUAGCUCCGAAGUUGCAGAAAAACCUUGUUGAUCUUAUAGAGAGUAGUUUCGAUUCAUCCUUUUUUCCAAUAAUUCCUUCUAAAUCUAUCAACAUCGAAGCUCUUAAAGCAACACUUUUUGUACUUUCUAUGAGCAACUCAUUCGAAAGAUGGGUUACACUAUUAACCAUUGAAAGCGAUUUUAAAUUGCACGAGAAAAUAUCUCUUGGCCCAGAGAUCCCAUCUUUUCCGAUUGGCCAAGACGGAUAGGCCCAGGGAAGAUAUUUAUUACUUCAGGUGGUGUCCCCAAACUGGAAGCAAGAUGGAACAACCAAACAAAUUGUGAUAUAGAAAUGUGAUGGAUUCUAAACAAAAACGUCAAUAGACAGAAAACAAAAACAUUAAUAUUCACUCAUGAGUUGAGUGCAUAAAGUAGAUCCAGUAGUACAUUCUCUCCAACUCUAACGUUUUAGGAGUCUUCUGUACUUUUGCUUUUAGCAGAUAAUAGCUGACCCUCCCCCUUCUCCAAUCUAUGAUCCCUGGAUCUCACAUUUCUUGUAGCACUUUGACCCCCUCUUUUACACUUAUCCCAUCUGUCUCUCUUAAAACUUAGUUAUUUGUAUGCCUAGAUUCAAGAAAUACAUAGUCAGUCCCUAACUCAUCUCAAACUCUGUGUUUAUCCCUGGGACUAUCAAAAUAAAAACAGCUGGUGCUCACCCUCAAUGAACUGGAAAUAAGCUGGGAAGACUUUGACAGAUACACAACUAACUGUGGUAGAAGACAGAAUAAAACAGGAACUGAGAAAUAAAAUAGGAUGAGAAGAGGGGAGGGAGAUGGGCACAGCUACUCACAGGAUCAUAAAGGAAUGAGUUCCACACCCAACCCUAUAGCAUUAAUGUACUUUAAUCAGUAUGAAGAGAAAGUUAAAUUUAAAAUGGGUAAUCAAAAUGACCCAGCCCUACUAGCUAUUUAGGAAGUAUCAACAAGAAGGGAGCAGUUGAUUGACUAGUCCAAUAAGCUAACCAUGCAUCUGAAGCCCUUUCAGUAGAGGAAUCUUAGUAUUAGACCAAUGUAGAGGGAGAAGCCUCCAAAUUCAGGAGCAAAGGAUUCAGUUAUGGCUUCACAGCAAAAACUCUCAAGAGAGAUGGACUGGAGUGGGGGAGGGAGGCGAGUUUCAUUUUCUCUUCCUUCUUUUACUAUUCUCCUGUCCACCCCCCUACUGAACAUUUCAUCACAGAGACUGUAUUAGCAUUAACCGGUGCAUCCAGCUGAGAUCAAAGAGAAUGGAGCUAUGGGAGAAAAUGCAUCCAGCUGGGAGGAAAGGAACACUAAUAGAAUAAACAGAUGCAGAAAGCCAUUUCAUGUGAGGAGGACAUACCCUUGAGGAGCAUGACCACUUUGCAUCAGAGCAGAAUUCUGACUGUGGACUCAAGAAAGGACUUGGUGGCCAUGAAGUAGCGGAACCAUUCUCCAGAAAUCCCAGUUCCGUUCUCAGACGCCAUCUUCUCAGCCAUCUGGUCCCUUCGUGAUCCAACUUUCCCAGCUGCAGCAGCGAUGAAAAUACCAUGGGUGUUCUGGACAUCCUCGGUCGCUUGACGGGAAUUCCCCAAUCCUCCUUUCCUGAUCUGUGCAACGGAGACACACGGUGGCGUUAGAAGGCGGGUUCGAUGGAGAGGCACGUGACCUCGAUUCAGAUCCACUCCAAGCCCCAAGCCACUUACUACUUGUAUGUCCUUGAACAAGUUCUUAGGCCUCAGUUUACCCAUCUAUAAAAUGAGAAGAUUGAGCUCGACCAGGGUUUCAAAAACUUUUUCCACUUGGGACCCCUUUUUGCCUGAGAAGUUUUUACACACAAAAAACUGGGUAUAUAAGUAUAUAAAACAGGCAGAUGAAUCAAACUCCGAUGAUAAAUCAUAAAGAGAUUUGUUUUAAAACAAUUCAUACAUCAUUUAAUUUUGCCCUUGAUUAAAGAUGAAAGCAAAUUUGCCUACUGAGGAGAUGGAUGUGCUUCCUUAUUUUUCCAUAAAGAGUUAAAUCGCAGAGGAAUAUUUGAUUUUACUGUUGCCAGCUUUUUCAACACCCCCACAUUCAGUCUGAGAAGCUUUGAACUAGUUGACUUCCAAGGGCUCUUCCAGCUCUCUUUUCUCUUACUCACAGGUUUAUUGUGAGGAGCAAAUAAGUUGUGUGUAAAGUCCAUUACAAGCCUUAAAGGUAUAUAGAAAUGGGAUUACAGCUGGGACCAGAACUUGAAAAUCGGACAAUGUAAGUGGUUUGCCCCUGGGCCUCGAAUUAAGAGAGAGCUGACAGCAGUGCUCUUCUGUAGCGGGAUGGAAGCAGCCAUCCAGUAAUUACUUGGCAAAACAAGUUCCACUUGGAAGUCACCAGAUGGCCUGCUUCCCCCCACCCCUCAUCUGCCCUGAAGUGGAGACAAAGCCCCGCCCCCAGCAGCAGUCUGUGCCCCCAAAGAUAGGUGAGGAUGAUUUCCUGCCGUUUCCAUGUUUCUAACCUUACUUCCCAGGCUGCUGGGGGUGCCAGAGAGCGUGGAUUAUUGGAUAGAAUUGGGAAGAGCCAAUUUCAAAUUCAGCCUGAAACACUUAGUAGUG